UGCAGUCGACGGUAACAGGGAGCUUGCUCCGCUGACGAGUGGCGAACGGGUGAGUAAUAUAUCGGAACGUACCCAAGAGUGGGGGAUAACGUAGCGAAAGUUACGCUAAUACCGCAUACGAUCCAAGGAUGAAAGCAGGGGACCUUCGGGCCUUGUGCUCCUGGAGCGGCCGAUAUCUGAUUAGCUAGUUGGUGAGGUAAAGGCUCACCAAGGCGACGAUCAGUAGCUGGUCUGAGAGGACGACCAGCCACACUGGAACUGAGACACGGUCCAGACUCCUACGGGAGGCAGCAGUGGGGAAUUUUGGACAAUGGGCGCAAGCCUGAUCCAGCAAUGCCGCGUGAGUGAAGAAGGCCUUCGGGUUGUAAAGCUCUUUUGUCAGGGAAGAAACGGUUGCGGCUAAUAUCCGCGACUAAUGACGGUACCUGAAGAAUAAGCACCGGCUAACUACGUGCCAGCAGCCGCGGUAAUACGUAGGGUGCAAGCGUUAAUCGGAAUUACUGGGCGUAAAGCGUGCGCAGGCGGUUUUGUAAGUCUGACGUGAAAUCCCCGGGCUCAACCUGGGAAUUGCGUUGGAGACUGCAAGGCUAGAAUCUGGCAGAGGGGGGUAGAAUUCCACGUGUAGCAGUGAAAUGCGUAGAGAUGUGGAGGAACACCGAUGGCGAAGGCAGCCCCCUGGGUCAAGAUUGACGCUCAUGCACGAAAGCGUGGGGAGCAAACAGGAUUAGAUACCCUGGUAGUCCACGCCCUAAACGAUGUCUACUAGUUGUCGGGUUUUAAUUAACUUGGUAACGCAGCUAACGCGUGA
rnacentral:rRNA from 1 species